rnacentral:rRNA from 1 species
AGAGUUUGAUCCUGGCUGAGGAUGAACGCUGGCGGCGUGCUUAACACAUGCCAGUCGAGCGAUGAUGGGAGCUUGCUCCUGGAUUAGUGGCGAACGGGUGAGUAACACGUGAGUAACCUGCCCUUAACUCUGGGAUAAGCCUGGGAAACUGGGUCUAAUACCGGAUAUGACUCCUCAUCGCAUGGUGGGGGGUGGAAAGCUUUUUUGUGGUUUUGGAUGGACUCGCGGCCUAUCAGCUUGUUGGUGAGGUAAUGGCUUACCAAGGCGACGACGGGUAGCCGGCCUGAGAGGGUGACCGGCCACACUGGAACUGAGACACGGUCCAGACUCCUACGGGAGGCAGCAGUGGGGAAUUUUGCGCAAUGGGCGAAAGCCUGACGCAGCAACGCCGCGUGAGUGAUGAAGGCUUUCGGGUCGUAAAGCUCUGUCAAUGGGAAAGAAGUGUAUUUUGGCUAAUAUCCUUAAUACUUGACGGUACCCAUAAAGGAAGCACCGGCUAACUCCGUGCCAGCAGCCGCGGUAAUACGGGGGGUGCAAGCGUUGUUCGGAAUUAUUGGGCGUAAAGCGCGUGUAGGCGGUCUGAUUAGUCUGAUGUGAAAGCCCUGGGCUCAACCCAGGAAGUGCAUUGGAUACUGUCAGACUUGAAUACGGGAGAGGGUAGUGGAAUUCCUAGUGUAGGAGUGAAAUCCGUAGAUAUUAGGAGGAACACCGGUGGCGAAGGCGGCUACCUGGACCGAUAUUGACGCUGAGACGCGAAAGCGUGGGUAGCAAACAGGAUUAGAUACCCUGGUAGUCC